rnacentral:lncRNA from 1 species
GAGGGAGUCACUAUUUCUUGCCUGAGCGGUAGUGCUGAGCGUCUUGUGAUUCUGAAGACCCAGCAUUGAGCAACAGUUUCCACCGUUGAGCUCCUUGCGAUUAUGAGGGCCACCGCUAAGCGGUCAAAUGGGCAUUGAGCGCCUAAAUGAUGGGCCUGGGCCGAAAUUCUGUUAUUUUUCUAUGUUAUAAAUAGCCCCAGUGCGACCCUUAGGGUAAUCUUUUGGCAGAGGAAGUCUCCAGAGCACCUUCUACACUCCUUGGAGGGAGUUUCUUGGAUGCUACAGCUCCAAUUUAUCAAUUCUAGGGUGUAUUCUUUCACCUUUUCCAUUAGUUCCAUCUAGUUUCACCAUGUCCAUGGUGAACUAAACCCUUUGUUGUUAGGGAAUAAUGUAAUCCUUUUGAAACUCUCUUAUAUUGAAAUCCUUAUUUUAUUCAUAUGCUUGUAUUAUCAAUUGUUGGUUUUCUUUUCUGAUGUGAAUGCUUACAUCGUUU